GUACAUGCCUACAACAUAGCGUUAAUGCACUCGAUCUCAUUAUAACUUUGUAGUUAAGUGCACUCGAGCUAGAGUAGUAUUGGGAUGGGUGAUCACCCGAGAAUUCCUAGUGCUUUACU
rnacentral:rRNA from 1 species